UAACACACUAGUAUUAUCAUUGACUGCAAUAAUCCUAAAUGUUCUUAAUGUUCGGCUUACUUUCUAAUAAAUAGACAUCUGAACAUAAACUCAAAGAUAUUAUGUAACGCUCGUGCAAUCACUAGUACAUCUAACUCACAAGAAGAUAAUAAAGAUCUUGAUAAUUUCUCAAAGAAAGCCAGAAGAAAAACACUGCUUACCGACUCUGGAUUUCCAUCAUAACAAAGAUAAUAUAUUUCCCGC
rnacentral:lncRNA from 1 species